GCUGUGCACCGGGUGAUAAAGGGCGGCAGGAGCCCCUCUGCUGCUCGGUGCAGCCCACCUGUGGGACCAGCCUCGCCUCCCGUGGGGAAGCCGGAGGAGAAGGGAAGCCUUGCUGGAAACCACCACGGCACUUCCUCCUCCCCGUGACCCCGCUCUGCUCCCCCGGAGAUGCUGCUACCAGCUUCCCCCCCCCGGGGUUCAGACUUCCAACAGCAAAGCGCUUGCCCCCUCAUAUUUGGGAUUGAUUCAGCGCUCUGCCACGUGAGACUGCGACUCAGCCCGAGCUCACGGGGAGCACCCAGCCACAAAACUUCAUCAGGGGAGCAGCGGCGCUGGCCUUGCACCCCGGUUACCCAGAGGUGCCCCUCGUGCCCUCAGCUAAAACAUCCCACCUGGAGCGAUGCAAGGAGCACAUUCCAAUUUCUUUUUCUUUGCCUUCCCGCGCUCUCCUGCCAGCUGCAGCCUCCCAGGCCUGUGUUUCUGGUGCAAACGCAGGGAAAGCGCUGAAGCCCUUUGCAAUGCCGGCUGCAAAGCGCUCGCCCGCUCCCACCCGCACACCGCAGCGUGCCACGGCGGUGAGCGCUCUCAUCCUGAGCAUUCCAGGCUACUUGUCUAUACUUUUGAUGCCAACAAGCUGCCGGUCAACUCAUGCGAAGCCGCAGCCUCUUUGGAAGAAGCACGGCACAGCGCUUGAGGCAUGAUCUCUAAACUGGAAAUGUGGCAGCCACCAGAAGAUUGUGCGGGCCAAAAUCUGGAGGGAUGAGAGAGGAACUGAGCCCCAGACUGUAUCUGCAAGAGGAGAGUUUGGGAGGGUGCUGCUCAUUUCUGCACGCUGACCUGCUGUGGUUGGGGAAAGGCGAUGGCCAUCCAGCUUUGUUGGAUGCACAGGAUCCGCUCUUCAUUUUUGAAGGUGGGAAAAACAUUCAAAAGGGAAACGAUUUUCUGUUUCAGGCAGCUCAUCCGUGCCAAAGCCAUGUGUUGUUGCGCUCCCAUUGAUAUGCUGAUGCUUAAUUUGUAAGUGCCUUCUCCAAUACUCUGCGACUGCCUCCCGUUGGCUUCCCCCCCCCUGUGUUUACAGCAUCAGAGCGAAACAUAUAAUUUCAGCUCGCUGAAGUGCCGGUUCACGUGGCAGGCAGCUGAAUCCUCCUGCCCACGGCUUCUGGGCACCGCGGCCGCGAGGAGCUCAGCCGCUCGAGGCCUUGGCAGAAGCUCCCUUACGAUUUUUUAUAAAUAAUCCCUGAAGUUGCAUGUGUCUGUUGCUUCUUCGAAGCGGCAGAGAAGUGACUGGUGUUGUGAGGGGGUGGAUUUCUUACGCUGGAGACUGUCAGAGGUGUUCAGGUAGGUUGAAAGAGGAGAUUAAAAGAAAAGCAGCUGAGAAAUGGAGAGGACCAAAAAAAAAAAGAGGAUGGAAAAGGACAUCUGUUAAUUUGAAAGUCUAAUUAAAUUGAGAUGGGUUCAGGUCCUGUUUUCCUUGUUCCCUUUGAGAAUUGCUGCUUAGGUCAAGCUCGUACUGCCCCGUUUAUUGGCAUUUUUUCCCUUUCCAUUAUGGCACGUGGUAUCAAAAUUAAAGAGUAGCAGAGAGGUUU